GACAGCCCUCAGCACGGUUGGCCGGCUAGUGGCAGGCCUUGCCCGCUUCGAAGAAUUGACAGUUUAUCGAUGGAAAAGACGCCAACCGCACUCGUAGUGACAAUUUUUACGGUGACAGACUCGGUCGCGGCAGGAAAAUCGCGUACCCGGCUCCCGCUGUACGAUAUACGGUUACCGCGGUGGAAGCAGCUACAACACGGCAAAGGUGCUUCCCCUCGGUUCUGGGUGGUGAAUAAAACUACACUUGACAGUGGUGUGCUACAGGGCGGUGUGUUGCAAAGUUUUUAACGCCUUGAAUUUAAGCGCCUUAAUCGCGACGAAAAGUUUUUCCAACGCCACGAAAGGCUGAUCGUGUACGGGAACAGGUUUGGAAUUCGUGCUGAAAGGCUGUGCUUCCGCAAAAUCCCGGCCAAAGUGGCUGUUUAAAAAGCGAAUCAAACACCGGAAGCGAUUCGCGGCACACGGCACACGGUCCCAUCCAUUCCGUUGCCCGACGGCCGUAAAGCAAGGCCCCCGCCGUUCGAGCCGGGGCCGCCAUCGAAUGUGCCGGGGCGAUAGUAAGCCGCGGCCCCGGUGUGACCGGCUGUCGGUCGAACGUGUUGAGAUGAUGCGCUGAUAGCCGUUCCGCCAUGCAGUCAGAGAGGGCGCUUAUCAUCCGAUUCCGGGAACCCAACCACGAGGCACACGAUGCAACGCGUCGCACGGAAAAUGAACCAUCAUCAUUCACCCUGGGUUAAAUUACCCUCCUCCUCUCUUUCUCUCUCUCUCUCUCUCUCUCUCUCUCUCUCUCUCUCUAUCUCUCUCUCCGCCUGUGCCCUCGUUCGCGCUACGGACAUCCCGCCACCACUGAAAUGCCGAUGACAAUGUUCCGGUGUCCAAAUCCCUAACAAACCCCAGCGUGUUGCCGCAUGCACCGAACCUACACUAUCAGCCGUUCUUGCCGUCGUUGUCCUCCACGUUCUAUGUUCUAUCUUUUGCGCCACUUAUCAUUGUGCACACAGACACACUGCCAGGCGAAGGGCCAACGCACCGAGCGAGCGAGCGGCGUCGAAAACGCGCGACGGUCGACACAUUACCUGGGAUCCAUGGGCGGUUUCGGAACGGUUGGAAGUCGGAUCGGUUUUAAAGUCGGCCUGUGAAAGCGAAGCCGAACGUAUUUGCUCACACAAUCUGCACCCCACCCCAAUUGGCCGUCCCGAUUGGGCCCCGCGAGCAACACGCAUUUGAAUAAGGAUAAGGUCAUCAUCGUUCGUCGGUCCGUUUCCUUCGCUUGCCGGGACUGUUUUCCCCGGGUGACGGUAAAGCCAGCGGGCUCCGGUACCAGCUGGUGGCCAUUUUAUGACGCGUAUAAUGCGUGCCUUCAUUCCCGAGAACGUUUGACUGGUCCCGCAUUUCGAUUGGGUUUUAGCGGAGCUGAUAAGAACGGGGACGGAAUCUGAAUCAAAGCUGCCGGUACGGGACAGCGUCCUAGCGGGUCAAGCGGGGUGAGUUUCAGGGUGCACAGUAUGCACAGCACCCAAAAGCCCUGAAGAUGAUCAUACGUGAGUUUAUGUGUGUGUGUAUGUUUGUGUGCUGAUUGUGUGAAUAAGUGUGCGACCGUGUGUUGUCGAACGAAAAGCCAACGCAACCCAAUUUCGUUCUUUGUGUCGCGCGGUGCUGGAAUAGGGAAGAUGCCGAGCGCCGUGACGCAGAUUCCCUCUCCUUUGCCCGGGCUGCCGUUGUUUACCGAAAGUAUCAUAUAGCGAUAAUACGUGCCUCGGUGCCUCGGAAAGGAAAGUACGUUAAGAUUUCGCCUUCACACCGACACCCAGGACAGCUGCUGCGGCAAAAGGUCGCCAUCCCGCCAUUUCCCAAGCGCAAUCGAAGCAUCUUCUGCGCAGCGUCUUCUUUGUUCGUGCAGGCUGUCGAGGAAUGGCUGCCAGGGCAGGCAAGAAGUAUUGCCCUUCUGCGACCGUCUUCCCUCGUUCCGGGAGCGUUCCCGGAUUGAAGCUUAGUCAUCGAAUUCGUACGAUUGUACACACCCCGGGUGCCGCUGUUGUGAGAUGGCGGCCAGUUGUGUAUUUGUGGCGAGAGUUGAGACGGACGCGGCAGCGCCUUGGAAGCUCCGGGUGUUUCCGGGUAAAGGCUUUCUGCCAUCGUCAGCCCCUUUUCCGCAGGGGUUUGUGCUGAUUCAUGCAACACGCUCUAAUAGCCUGAACCUUCGGUUCUCCACCGGAAGGAUGCGAACCCAGGACACGUCCCCAGGUCCGGGAGUUUGAAUCCGUAUCCGUUACCGCUGUGAGCACGCGGCGUGAUAGAUUAAAUCGUGCAAGGCUUCUUGGGCUUAAGCUUUGUUUGUGGCGCUCUGCGGCUUCUGUUUGAAGGCAAACACGUAUGACCGAUAGAACGAUAAGAGGAUGUGUGAAAUAGUUUCCUUUUGAUUCGAUUUCAACGCUUUAGGUCCAUUCUAGAGAUAUUUCUUUGGAGUGUUUCCUGUAGGUUUCUUUGUAAUUAUUUAUAGAAAUUGGAAAUAGCCAUACUUUUUCCUAGAAUCUCCGCCUUUAUUGAUUUCAAAGCUCUCCUCUUACUGGGUGCUUUUUCGACCCAAGCAACGCACUGGCAUUGAUUUAUCUUAUCGACAACAGAUCCCCGGACAACUGAUUGUAAAAAAAAAACCGGUUUAAAAUGAUUCGCUUUUUUCCCCGGCCUCCUCCAUUGUUUAUCUAUGGCGGUGACAUUUGAUUGGGUUGUAAGCGAUAAUGGGUGUUUUAUCAAAACCGAUCGACACCUAACGUCUGCCUGCCGCCAUACAUGGGCGAUUGAUGUUCAGGCUUUUUUAUUUACUAAAUUAGCCACCACAAAACAACAAUAGAAAGAAAAAAGUGAACAACCAAACAGUAGCGUCGAAGUAGUUGUCUUCUUGCUGGUGGCACCGAUUUGAUUUGUGUCUCCCGUGGAGGUACAGCUGGAAUUGUGUUUGUGUGUGUGUGUGUGCUUUUAUGAAGGGAGGUUGGCUAAUUUUAAAUCGAUAACUGACCGAGUUGUGCUGCCGUCUAUCAGCCGCUCGAAGUGGCGCGUGACUUUUGGGGGCCACUUUUUGUCGAUACUUUGCGGUGUAUCUUUCUGGGCACGCGACAUGCGUACCAUUGCUUUAUCAGCAGCUGGCGAGACGUGCGUAACCGUUUACCGACGGCAUUUAAGAUCGUUGAUACUAUUUCUGCGGAUUUGUUGAUUUGUUGAUUUGCGGCUGAUCGGUAUUUCGUGGAAAAUCGGCGGACUGGCACGACUGGGCAAACUAGCGGAGGGAGGUGUGUCGAUUAAUUUACGACACCCUGAAUCACUGGCCAAACAUUUGCGAAUUAUGUUUGGCUUCCGCGUAACCUAAUCAAACGUGUUUUAAUACCAAGCUAAGAGUUUUUAAAGCUGUUUGCAAAGCUAAUUUCAACCAAACGCUACGUUUUAAGCCGCGUCACAGCUCACCCCUCUCGCGAUCGCGAUCAUUUAGUAAGGCACUCAUGAGUACCCGCCGACCCCGCUAGUUAGUGUGGCUUGGUCAGCAGCCUGACUCGCCAACCGGGGUUUGCUUAGUUGUUUGUUUUCUCCAUUCCCGGCAUUCCGGCAAAUGUGUUUGUGUUCACAAAAAAUCAUCGUAUCAUUACAAUAAUCACAUAGCAAGCCACUUCCAGCUCCGCGUCAACCGUUUCCCCCAUUGCCACGCAACCAGCUGACAGCAAAGGCAGCUUGAAGAAAGAGCACGCACAAAAACGCAUUCCCCAAAUCGAUUUUUGAGGCCUUAAAGUGCCGUUUCCAAAGCGAAGCCACAGACGGCCGAAGCCGCCGCAGUAAACAAGCGUCGCACACGGAACUGCACGAGGUAUGGCCCCGGUUGGGCCCCGGGGGGGACGGGCAAGCGGUUCCGUCUGGGUAAGGUAAGUGAAAAUGUACAUAAAUCCCAUCGCAUCGCAUCGAGCAACCAUCUCACCUCCGAAAAAUCACAGCUAAUAAUUAAGAAAUAAACAUUGUUAAAGCUUAUCGGACAAACAGCGACUCGGCCGUGCGGCAUGAGACAUGGAGGAAGAAUAAAAAUUGUUUGUCUAAAUAUUGUGUCUCGGAGUUGGUGUUUUGUGUGUGGCUCGUCGUUUUUUUUUUUUUUGGUUUUACUUGUAGCGCGAAACCAUUCUUACCUCGCCAUGCAGCUUGGGUAGGAAGAUCCGAAAAAAAACAAAAACCCCUCACUGUACUGAAGUUGUCCGUUGUAUGAGUCGUGUGACUUUAAGAAUGGUUUCGCUGGUCAUUACACAUUUUCAAGGUAGAAAGGCAACGACAUUUAUGCAAUGAGCGUGUUUGGUUUGGAUGGUUUACCCUCCAGCACGGGGGAACAUCUAUCGUUCGAUUUCCCCGGCCUAAGCCCAACUAUUGGCGUCAAAAGUCACACCAGCCAACAACUCCGGCCGUCAGUUUUGACAGUUGGUGCAGCUGCUGCUGCUGUGACCGUGGGGUCGUCCAAGGAUCCUCUGCUUACCCUCUCCCUGUACGCAACGCGCCGCCUGUAUGUAGUUAUCUACCGAUCCGGUACGUCACAAAAAGGUGCAAUUCAAUUACAGUGCCCUUGCAUACGCCUUUUUAUAUUGUCUGAUGUGCGUGUGUUUACCUAUUGACAGUUACCUAAACCCAGGCUUCAAGGGUGGACGCGGUGGACAGUUGUGCUUGGUUCGGCCAGGGUGCCCCAAUUAUAAUGUGACCAUCGUGCGGUAAGAAGAUAGCGCUCUGUGACAGGAGCGAAGGGACGAGUGACCGAGUCAGAAUAACAACCACAACAUAAAAACUGAUUUGUCAUUGCAUGUAGGGCUGAUCGAGAAUGUCCACCUAUUGCUGUUAGGAUCGUCAAUUUGUGGAGGAAUAGAUGAACAGAUCGCGGAUGGAAUGGAACGUGACAUGGAAUGAUGUGGCAUUUUUGUGCGUACUGUGCCACGAACAUUGUACUUACUCUUGACAAUAAUAAAGGCAAUUCGACAAA